UAUCCCAAAUCUGAGCUUUGACGAUCUUAUCAUCGACAUGGAUGCUACGAGUGGCGAAUUCUACACCGAUCGUGGAUUUAGAUUCGAGACUGAACUCGUUGCGCGUGAAUCGAGAAAGGAGGUUGGAUUUUCCAACGCCGGAGUCUCCAAUUAACACAACUUUGAAGAGGUAAUCGUACUCGUCGUCGGCUCUAUAUGCGGCCAUUGUGAGGUUCUCUGAUUAGAGAAUCUCUCCUCGGAAAAUUUUAUGGAUCUGAGAUUUCUAGAAAUUUAGCGCGUAUCGAUCAACCAAUGAGAAGAAGAACAAAAAAAGAAGAGAGAGUUUCAAAUUUCCAGGGGAAAGACAAAAAUGUUAAAAAAUAAAUCAAGGAGAUCCGGAUCCGACUUAAUUUCGGGUCUGGGUUGUUAUCCAGGUCCUU